CACUGCCUGCUUGUUGAAGCCUAAUCUCCUCUGAUCUCGGAAGCUAAACAAGGCCAGGACUGGUUAGUACUUGAAUGGGAAACCGCUGGGAGUGCCAGGUGCCACAGUGC
rnacentral:rRNA from 1 species